rnacentral:rRNA from 1 species
AUACGUAGGGGGCGAGCGUUGUCCGGAAUGAUUGGGCGUAAAGGGCGCGUAGGCGGCCCGGUAAGUCUGGAGUGAAAGUCCUGUUUUUAAGAUGGGAAUUGCUUUGGAUACUGUCGGGCUUGGGUGCAGGAGAGGUAAGUGGAAUUCCCAGUGUAGCGGUGAAAUGCGUAGAGAUUGGGAGGAACACCAGUGGCGAAGGCGACUUACUGGACUGUAACUGACGCUGAGGCGCGAAAGUGUGGGGAGCAAACAGGAUUAGAUACCCUGGUAGUCCACACUGUAAACGAUGAAUGCUAGGUGUAGGGGGUAUCGACCCCUUCUGUGCCGCAGUCAACACAAUAAGCAUUCCACCUGGGGAGUACGGCCGCAAGGUUGAAACUUAAAGGAAUUGACGGGG